rnacentral:snRNA from 1 species
AGCUUUGCGCAGUGGCGGUACCAUAGCCAAUGAGGUCCAUCCGAGGCGUGGUUAUUGCUAGUUGAAAACUAAUCCCAAUAGCCCGCGCUGACGCCCUUCACUGGGCGGCAUGCGCAAUUUUUGUUAGCUCCUACGGGGG